GAGUGGCAUCGAUUGUGCAUUGAGUGUAAACCAUAAUAAAGAACACUGUGACGUUUAUUAAAUGACAAGUCAUUUCUUUGUGUUUUUCUGUAUCAAAAAAAACAGCUAUUGUGUACGCUCUGUGUGUAUGUUUUGUUAUUUGACUAUUUUUUAUACAAAAAAAAACGACCGAAUCACUUAUUUGAUAAAAUCCAAGAGGAUAUAUUGCAUUCAAACCAUUGCAAAUUGUGCAAUCACAAAAAUAAAGAGUAAAAUUCCAGCAAAAAUCGUCACGAACGCCAGAGAUCUAGAGGAAUAACCUCACAUUCGGGAAAAAUGAUCGGAAAUUGGCACCAGACUCUAUCCAACUACUGGACGAACACUCAAGUUGCUACGGAGAAAACACUACAACAGGUGAAUGAUGAUUUCGAGUACAGCGGAUUGGCAUUUGACGAGAAAUUCAAGGAGUACUUUCUACGUAGAACGAAUGCUCGAAUCAUUCAAGUGUACGAAGAAUUCAUCUUGGAAGUGCAAUUCAAUGGGAUUCGAUCUCGAGGUCACGAUUCAACCAACAAGAAGACGACCACCGAUAUAAGCGGUGAGACUGAAAUCACUCAAUCGAAUAAUUACCAGCGAGGAGCAGCAAUUACACCAACAAUAAGUCAAGAGAUGAAUGCACUCCCCGAUCGGCUACAAAAACUGCCAUUUUCAACAGAAAUUAAUUCUGGACCGAAUGGAUCUGAAGAUUCUGAAGUACGCGCACUGAGCAAUGAAACGUACCAACAAUCCACAUUUGUGGAAGAAAACAUCGAUCCGAAAAAUGCCUCUGAAUCGAUCGAAGCAAUGAUUGGUAACCAACCAAUUUUGACCGUUCAACUCAGCGAGUCUCAAGCGACUAUUCCGAGUGAAAAUGGUCUGAAUGGAAACGGAAUUGACAGGGAUAAUCCAAUCGAAACAUCGAACAAAAUACUGACAACGGCUUGUCAAAAUUCUGUGCAUCCAUCCAUCGAUUCCAUUGUACAAGCGGGAGAUCCAGAGACAAGUGGAGUCACCCAUUGCCUAGAAAUGAAUAAUUGUAUGAAUGAACAUCAAUCAAUGUCAGCUUUGACCCCAAUCCAUGAAUUAUCUGCAAUACAAUUCCCAGGCAAUGAAACACUUCAACGAUUUGUGUCGUUUGUGAGCAAAAACAUUGAUGAGAACAAUGACACAGCAUCGCUCCGAGAGCUGCUCGGCAGUGAAUCAUUUUUCGCUCAAGUCAACGUAACUCAAGCGAAUGCUUUAAAUGAAAAUGGCCUGAAUCGAAACCGAAUUGGCAGUGACAAUCCAAUACAAGCUUCGAAUACAGAAACAAUAAUGGAUAGUCGAGCACAGAGCAUUAUGCAGCCAACCAUCGAUUUGAUUGCAUCAUCGGCGGCGUCAGAAGUAAAUGACGGAGCCAAUCUUAAUCAAUCAAUGCCAAAUACAACCGAAGGCCAUGACACGAUUCAAGGGUUCGCAUCGUUUGUGAGCAAUAACAUCGAUCUGAACAAUGUCACAGCAUCGCUUGGAGCAAUACUUGGAAACGACACAAUGUCCGCAAUAUUUGACCAGCCUCAAACUAUUCUCACGGAUAAAAUUGGCAUUAGUGAAGAUGAGAUGCGAAACAGUUCAGCUGUAAAUGGAAUAACAAAGACAAACGUUCAACCAGAUUCAGCCAUCAGUGAAUGUGACGAGGUUAUUGUAACAAAUGCCUCAGCAGUGGAGGCGAUACACGUCGAAAGACCAAAUAAUCUAGCAGUUGUUGAUUUGACAAUUGAAAACGUCGAAGCACAAAAGGUAAACAAUCAGAAUGAGAAAAAUCUAGUGAAGCGGAAUCAACGAAAGAGAAAAAUUGCUGAGGCAUCAACAUCGAAUGGGAAUCCAAAGAAGAAACGGAAGAUUGAACCACGUUCAACACUGAAAACCAUUCCGGAGUCGACUUCAGAAUUGCCACUGAUUGAUCUGACAUCAAAGGAAACAAACAGUUCGAAACAAUCAAAAAGAGUGCUUUCUUCGUCAAAUCAAAGGAAUGAAACCAAACCAGUUCACGCUAAACAACAGAAUGGAUCGACAUCAAAAGGGAAAUCCAAAUCUAAAUGUGAGUUUUGUAAUUAUGUGGCUCCAAGUAUGUCACAUCUGACAAUACACACACGCAUUCACACUGGCGAGAAACCAUUUGAAUGCAAAAUUUGUGCGAAAAAAUUUACUGUAAAAGGAAAUAUGAACACGUACAUGAGAACUCAUGCAAAUCAAUUUCUAUUCCAUUGCUUGAUUUGUCGACAAGGAUUCACUGUGAAGCGGACUAAAGAGACACACGAGAAAAAUUGUAAUCAACGGCGAUUUGAAUGUUAUUUGUGCAAAUAUGCUACAUUACACAAAACACACUUAGUCAGACAUUUGCACAUUCAUACCGGUGAAUUGCCUUUUAAAUGCAAAAUUUGUGCAAAAGGAUUUGUUCAAAAGGUUCAUCACACAAGGCACAUGAGAACUCACGCAAAUCAAUUCCCGUUCCAUUGCUUGAUUUGUCGACAAGGAUUCACUGUGAAGCGGACUAAAGAGACACAUGAGAAAAAUUGUAAUCAACGGCGAUUUGAAUGUUACGUGUGCAAAUAUGCUACAUUACACAAAGGAAACUUAGUCAGACAUAUGCGCCUUCAUACCGGAGACAAACCAUUCCGUUGUUCUCAUUGCUCAAAACGAUUAACUCAAAAAUCUCAAUUGAAAUAUCAUCAAAAACGUCAUCAGAACAAAACCAAAUGAGUUAUAUUACAAACUGAACAAUUUUUCACUAUUGUUAAAUGUUUAGAGACAAACGAAAAAAUAUCGAAAAUAUUGUAAUUGAUUGUAUUCUAAUUGAAAUGGAAUAGUUGUGUCGAACAUAGAAGGGUUCAAUUCAAUGAAAGUUAUUGUGACAAAUGGGACGAACUCUUUCGAUGAAUAAAACGAAGCUACAAAUUAAAUACAGAUGUUUGUGAAUGAAGACGAAUUAAUUUAUCUAAAUGGCUAGAACUCUCUUUAUGUGAGAUUUUCAGAACUAUAGGAAAAACGACUUUAUUUGUGCACGUAUUCAUUGUUGAUUGCGCAAUGCGCACAUUAUUUGUGUUCAACGAAUAAGAAUGAAUGUUUCUACUGAAUUGAAAACAGCUGAAAUGGUAUAAAAGCUUCAAUUCAAUUGCUUGUGAUCAUCAGUAAUUAUCGAACAUCAAACAAAAAUGCGUCUCUUCAUAUUGAUAACUUUUGUAUUUGCAUUUGGGGCCCAACAGUCGUUUGGAUGCAUAGGUGGACAAGCGAUUCAGAAUAUAGCAUUUCACGAGGAGCCGUUCAUGAGCAUCAAGUCUUUUGGAAACUUGGUAACAGAUUCUAUCUAUCGAACUGUUGAAGAUUUGAGAAAGUUAUUGGGAGAUGAUUUUGAACCUAUAUUUAAACGUAUGAACCUAUGGCAAGCAGCUUACGUAUCAAAAUCCUUGAAGGGAAUGGCGCAUACUAUGAUAGCCUAUACAAUGCUGCGCAUGAAUAUAAUCAACUGUUAAUGAGUUUUUCUCAUUCACCGAAUAUGAUAACUGUUGCUGGAUUUAUGCAGCGUUUAAAUCAUUUGAAUACCCACGAGCUGUAUUCCAAACAAAUUGAUACACUUAAUUCAAAAGUUGAACGAGUUACAGGCAUUAAGUCUGGCUGAACAAAUAAUGUUUCGAAUUAACUUUAAUUCUGUGAAAAAAUGUAAAAAUUUCUUUUGAACGACACAUGAAAUAAAAAAAUACGAUUCUCACAA